CAGUAGCCGCGGGAAUACGAAGGGGACUAGCGUUGUUCGGAAUCACUGGGCGUAAAGCGCACGUAGGCGGAUUUGUAAGUCAGGGGUGAAAUCCCGGGGCUCAACCUCGGAACUGCCUUUGAUACUGCGAAUCUUGAGUCCGAUAGAGGUGGGUGGAAUUCCUAGUGUAGAGGUGAAAUUCGUAGAUAUUAGGAAGAACACCGGUGGCGAAGGCGGCCCACUGGAUCGGUACUGACGCUGAGGUGCGAAAGCGUGGGGAGCAAACAGGAUUAGAUACCCCCGUAGUCCCUGUCUCUUAUAC
rnacentral:rRNA from 1 species